AUUCCAGCUCCAAUAGCGUAUAUUAAAGUUGUUGCAGUUAAAAAGCUCGUAGUUGGACUUCUGGCAGGGCGCCGCGUGCCACAGUAGUGCGCACAAGGGCCCGGCCAUCCUUCUGUAAACGUCGGGGAAGUUUAUUCGUCCGCGGCGGGAUCAGUUAAUUUACCUUGAGAAAAUUAGAGUGUUUCAGGCAGGCGUAGCCGGAAUACAUUAGCAUGGAAUAAUGGAAUAGGACUUAGUCUCUUUGUUGGUUCGAGGGACUGGAGUAAUGAUUAAUAGGGAUAGUUGGGGGCAUUAGUAUUUAUUAGCUAGAGGUGGAAUUCUCUAAUUUGAUAAAGACUAACGUAUGCGAAAGCAUUUGCCAAGGAUGUUUUCAUCA
rnacentral:rRNA from 1 species